rnacentral:sRNA from 1 species
GUCGUGAGAUGUUGGGUUAAGUCCCGCAACGAGCGCAACCCUCGUUCGAUGUUGCCAGCGGGUUAUGCCGGGGACUCAUCGAAGACUGCCGGGGUCAACUCGGAGGAAGGUGGGGAUGACGUCAAGUCAUCAUGCCCCUUAUGUCCAGGGCUUCACGCAUGCUACAAUGGCCGGUACAAAGGGCUGCGAUACCGCAAGGUGGAGCGAAUCCCAAAAAGCCGGUCUCAGUUCGGAUCGGGGUCUGCAACUCGACCCCGUGAAGUCGGAGUCGCUAGUAAUCGCAGAUCAGCAACGCUGCGGUGAAUACGUUCCCGGGCCUUGUACACACCGCCCGUCACGUCACGAAAGUCGGCAACACCCGAAGCCGGUGGCCUAACCCGUAAGGGAGGGAGCCGUCGAAGGUGGGGCUGGCGAUUGGGACGAAGUCGUAACAAGGUAGCCGUACCGGAAGGUGCGGCUGGAUCACCUCCUUUCUAAGGAGCAACUCACCGACGAAAGUUGGUCAGUAGCCCGCGUCACCCGUAUGUGGUGGUGGGGUGCUCAUAUGGCGGAGACACUGGCGAGUUACCUGUUGGCAACGGCCGGCGAACCUAGUACACGAGCCCACGCUUCGGUGUGGGAACAACUCGGUGGGACGGGGGUCUGGUGCGGCUGAUGGAUGAUGAUGAGCACCCUGUUGAGUCCUGAGAGAACAACCUCUCCCAGGGUCGUGGUGGCAGUUGCCCCGGGCCGUGGUGUGUGGGUUGGUCUUUCUCCAGGCAUGACCUCGACAACAAACCGGCUAUCGGUUGAUGGUGUUUGGUGUUGUCGGACGGGGUUGUGGGUUGGUCGUUGGUUGAGAAUUACACAGUGGACGCGAGCAUCUUUGUGGUCAAGUUGUCAAGGGCGAACGGUGGAUGCCUUGGCACCAGGAGCCGAUGAAGGACGUGGGAGGCCGCGAUAGGCCUGGGGGAGCUGUCAACCAAGCUGUGAUCCCAGGGUGU